AGAACCUGAAACCUUGUGCCUACAAGCACAUAGAGCACAUCAACGUGUGAUAUGGUACUUUUUGUAGAACGGUCCGGCGAGCGAUUGUAUGUUGCGAGCUUAAGCGCUUAAGGCGUGGAGGCGUAGCGAGAGCGAGUCUGAAAAGGGCGUUCAGUAGCAUGCAAUGGGCCCGAAACCGGGUGACCUACCCAUGAUCAGGCUGAAGUGAAAGUAAAAUUUCAUGGAGGGCCGAACCGACCUCCGUUGAAAAGGCGGCGGAUGAAUUGUGGGUAGCGGAGAAAUUCCAAUCGAACUCGGAGAUAGCUGGUUCUCCCCGAAAUAGCUUUAGGGCUAGCCUCAUAUUAGAUACCCGGAGGUAAAGCACUGAAUGGCCUAGCGCCCGAGAGGGUAGCGAAGCCUAUCAAACUAAGAAUGCCGGAGUAUUGAUGUAUGGGAGUCAGACAGUGUGAGAUAAAUCUCAUUGUCAAAAGGGAAACAGCCCAGAUCUACAGCUAAGGUCCCAAAUUGUAUCUAAGUGGAAAACGAUGUGGAAAUACGCAGACAACCAGGAUGUUGGCUCAGAAGCAGCCACUCAUUUAAAGAGUGCGUAAUAGCUCACUGGUCGAGCGUCUCUGCGCGGAAAAUUUAACGGGGCUAAGAUACAAACCGAAGCUUAGGCUGCAUCGUAAGAUGCGGGGUAGGGGAGCGUUGUGUAAGCGGAGAAACAGUAGCGUAAGCGGCUGUGGAGUUUACAGAAGUGAGAAUGCCGGAAUGAGUAGCGCGAAUGUGGUGAGAAUCCACAUGGCCGGAAACCUCAGGUUUUUGGAGGAAGGUUCGUCCGCUCCAAGUUAGGCGGGAGCUAAGGUGAGGCCGAAAGGCGUAGCCGAUGCACAGACGGUAGAGAUUCCGUCCCCACCGAAAGAUUUAAGCACAGGGACACUUUUUGAAGGUCGGAGCCAGGUGUUGGUUCUGGUAGUGAUCGAGGGAAAUAUAGUACCGAAGUCCGGCUGGAAGAGAGGCGAGAAAAGCUGUGUGUAUAUCUAAGGUGCCCGUACCGCAAACCGACACAGGUAGGUAGGAAGAAGAUUCUAAGGCCAACGGGAGAAGGGUUGUUAAGGAACUCGGCAAAUUGACCCCGUAACUUCGGGAGAAGGGGUGCUCCAGAGAUGGAGCCGCAGAGAAUCGGCCCAAGCAACUGUUUACCAAAAACACAGGUUUGUGCUAAAUCGAAAGAUGACGUAUACGAGCUGACGCCUGCCCGGUGCUGGAAGGUUAAAAGGAGAUGUGCAAGCAUUGAAUUGAAGCCCCAGUGAACGGCGGCCGUAACUAUAACGGUCCUAAGGUAGCGAAAUUCCUUGUCAGGUAAGUUCUGACCCGCAUGAAAGGCGUAAUGAUUUGGGCACUGUCUCAACAGCCCGCCCGGCGAAAUUGUAGUACCGGUGAAGAUGCCGGUUACCCGCGACAAGACGGAAAGACCCCAUGGAGCUUUACUGUAGCCUAAUAUUGGGUUUCGAUGUUGCAUGCACAGGAUAGAUGGGACACAGGGAAGCAAGUGCUUUGGCAUUUGUGGAGUGGCCGUUGGGAUACCAUCCUUGCGAUAUUGGAAUUCUAACCUGCGCCUUUGAAUCAAGGCGGGGGACAUUGUUAGGUGGGCAGUUUGACUGGGGCGGUCGCCUCCUAAAGAGUAGCGGAGGCGUUCAAAGGUUGGCUCGUCCUGGACGGAAACCAGGAGAGAGAGUGCAAACGCAAAAGCCAGCCUGACUGCGAGACUGACGGGUCGAGCAGAGACGAAAGUCGGAGUUAGUGAUCCGGUGGUAUGUGAGUGGAAAUGCCAUCGCUCAACGGAUAAAAGUUACCCUGGGGAUAACAGGCUGAUCUCCCCCAAGAGUCCACAUCGACGGGGAGGUUUGGCACCUCGAUGUCGGCUCAU
rnacentral:rRNA from 1 species